rnacentral:SRP_RNA from 1 species
GUUUCAUUCAUAGGGAGCAUUAAUAUGGUGGAACAAUUGGGCUUGCCCGGAAGGUUGGGCUAGGAGUACUAUAUUCUGGCCUGCCCGUUCCAAGUGGUGAGUUGUGCCGUGGAUUCUCUCCGAAGGAGGAGGCUUCUCGGUCCUUAGAUUGGAGGGCACCGCGUGAGGCUGGCUUCACAGAGCAGCGAUAACCUCCUCCUCUUUGCAAUGGAAGGAUAACAUGCUGGUGCAUUCGCGGUCCAUUUAGCACCAGCUGCGCUGCUCAAAUUGAACCACCAUCUAU